rnacentral:rRNA from 1 species
UACGUUGGUCCCGAGCGUUGUCCGGAUUUAUUGGGCGUAAAGCGAGCGCAGGUGGUUUAUUAAGUCUGGUGUAAAAGGCAGUGGCUCAACCAUUGUAUGCAUUGGAAACUGGUAGACUUGAGUGCAGGAGAGGAGAGUGGAAUUCCAUGUGUAGCGGUGAAAUGCGUAGAUAUAUGGAGGAACACCGGUGGCGAAAGCGGCUCUCUGGCCUGUAACUGACACUGAGGCUCGAAAGCGUGGGGAGCAAACAGG